rnacentral:rRNA from 1 species
AAUAUGAAGCCGGACUGGGAUAGGGCCUCGCUGCCUUGCCCGUCUGGCGCCAUAUUCACCCAUGUCUUUUUGCGUACUACUUGUUUCCUUGGCGGGUCCGCCCGCCAAUUGGACCUUAUUCAAACCUUUUUUUCAGUUGCAAUCAGCGUCAGCAAAACAAAUGUAAUCAAUUACAACUUUCAACAACGGAUCUCUUGGUUCUGGCAUCGAUGAAGAACGCAGCGAAAUGCGAUAAGUAGUGUGAAUUGCAGAAUUCAGUGAAUCAUCGAAUCUUUGAACGCACAUUGCGCCCUUUGGUAUUCCAAAGGGCAUGCCUGUUCGAGCGUCAUUUGUACCCUCAAGCUUUGCUUGGUGUUGGGCGUCUUGUCUCUCUCCCGAGACUCGCCUUAAAAUCAUUGGCAGCCGGCCUACUGGUUUCGGAGCGCAGCACAUUAUUUGCGCUCUUGUCCAGCCGCGGUCGCGCGUCCAUGAAGCUUCUUUCAACCUUUUGACCUCGGAUCAGGUAGGGAUAC